GCUAAGUGGGGGGCAGGAGGGGCGGUAAUGCGGAGGGUGCAAGGGGGAAUCGGAAUUACUGGGCGGAAAGCGUGCGCAGGCGGUUUGCGAAGACCGAUGUGAAAUCCCCGGGCGCAACCUGGGAACUGCAUUGGUGACUGGCAGGCUAGAGUAUGGCAGAGGGGGGUAGAAUUCCACGUGUAGCAGUGAAAUGCGUAGAGAUGUGGAGGAAUACCGAUGGCGAAGGCAGCCCCCUGGGCCAAUACUGACGCUCAUGCACGAAAGCGUGGGGAGCAAACAGGAUUAGAUACCCCGGUAGUC
rnacentral:rRNA from 1 species